AUUAACCAGGUGGUCAAAAUACAUCAUAUACACAUUGCAGGAAAAACAGUUGAAAGAAAAAUUUCUAUUUAAAUUUCAAAAUGAAAUUAUUUUACUUUCUUUGUAUUUUAUAUAGUUUUCUAAUAUAUAUUACUUCGACCCAAGCUGCUGAUCGCCGAAGAUGCCUGAAGGCAGUGGCCGAGGAUAACCGCUGCAACACUACUGUGCAAGCAUAUUUCUUCGUUAACCGCAGAUUUCGCGCUAGAUGUUUGCAAUACACAAUCCCAGUUUGUAACACCACCAUCCAGUAUUACCAAAAUUACGACCAAUGUCUAAGAGAAUGUCAAAGCAUUCGUAGAAAUUCUUAACAUCUUAAAAUCUACAGUAAAUUGUAUUCUCACCACAAUAAAAAUAAAGUUCUUUAA